rnacentral:lncRNA from 1 species
CACUUUCACCACUAAAACUAGGAAGUUUUACAUUAGGAGAACAAGGGCCAGCCACAUGUUGGCGCCUCUCUUCAUGGUGAUGAUGUCUUGGCCGUGCAUUGUCUUCAUAAUAACCAUGAGAAGAAUGAGAGUGCCUUGAAGAAUGCCGAAGAGGAGGAGGAGGUCUUCUCUCACGGUUUUGAUGUAUUUCUUACGGUUUAACUCCAAACUUUGGAGCCUUGCCUCCAUUUGCCUUAUCACAUCAAGAUAGUGAGCAUUGGAUUGCUUGGCAUUCUUUAAGUCUUCAUAAAGGGCUGCCUUUUGGGCUGAGCACGGUUUGGAGGACUCUCCACUAGAAAAAUGAGCCAUGAUAAAAAAAUACAAAAAACAGAAAACAAACAGUGAAAGAAACUUGUUAGACAAAUAAAAGUGAGAUAUAGGUUGCUGGAAAAUGCCCAAGAAAGUACUCAAGCCACUCCAAGAAAGUAUGCUGUCCUCAACCAAGCCUUUCUUGUGGAAUGGAGGAGCUUCAAAUGAAAUAUUGUCACAGCAAACCAGCUUACUUAAGAACAAGUCUCCACACAACUUUAAGAAGAACAAAAAAAGACAAGCAAGAAAAGGUAUAAACAAGAAAAGCUAAACCAAAAACAGAGAGCAAUGUAUGACAAACUAGAAAGAAUAUGAAUGAAAGACAAGCAAGAAAAUAAUGAACUCAAUGAGAAAAGAAGGCACACAAAAAGAGUCCUAAAGAAAAGCGCUAGAGUAGAUUGAAGAAAACAGAAAACAGCUACUGGAAAAAAAAUUUAAAUGCAAACUGUGCUAUGUUUACAGAUUUAACUGGAAUGAUUGAAAGCGAACUGGAAUGUGAAAAAUUAACCACAGAAACUUCAAUGUCUUAACUCAACAAUGGCACUGGAAUGAGGUAAAAAAAGUAAGCCAAUUGAGAGAAAUAAAUUUUUCAAAAUUGCUGCCCAAUUACCGUAUUCUUUUCGGCAGUAUUGUACACUUUCCGUAUUUUAUUUAUCAUUUUUUUUGUACUUGGAAUUUUUGAGUAAUUCUUUUUUCUAUGAUUUUGUAACACUUUGAAGAAUGUAAAUCCAAAUUUUCACAAAUUUCCCAUGAGCCAAUUAAUUGCAGUAAAUUGAAAACAGUAGCACGUUUGUAAGAAAACAGAGGAGCCUAUUUAGGAAUGAAAAACAGUAUGAUGAACUAACAAAGACAUAAUGGAAAGUAUGUAAAGGAACUUGUAUAGAAUGAGAAUACAAGCAUGAACUCAAAUCUUAAAAAGGAAAAUGCACAAAGGAUCAAGCAAUAAACUAAAAAACAGAAAGUAAACCAAAGCAAGAAACAAUCAAAGCAAAUAAAAGUACUACUAGAAGUAAUGACAAUUAUGGAAUAACAUGACUAAGACAAAACUUGACAUGAUUACAAAAUUAAAAGACAUAUCACAAGAUAAAACAACAAGUGAAAGGAAGCUUAAGGUCAGCUCUAGGAAGGAGAGUGCCAUUCCAAAAGAGCAGCCAUACUCAUAUGAACAAUGAGUGUCAUAAUCCUUUUCACAAACACUUGGUGUAACAAAAGAAAAACAGCAAGAAAACUCAAAAAUAAAUCCUAAAACAGAAUGGUAAACAACUUGAAUUAAAGAGCUCUUGAAAGUAAAGUGCAAUACAACUCAAAAUUUAAGCAAAAACAAGCCUAGACUCUAGAUACCACAUGAUGUGAAUGCAACAACAAGAAUACAUGCUUAUUUGACAUUCUUAGGAGCAACUUGAGUUGGUCAUGAAAUGGCACUUUACUUAGAAUUGGAUCAAUGUUCUAAUUCAAGAACUCACCAAGACUUUGCACCAAACCAAAGCUCAUAUGGAGGUCCAUAUAUUGUCAAAUGGAAUCAACAACAAAGAAUGAAGAACUGAAUUAAAACAACCGAACAAAAAUGAAAGGAAAGCUACUGCACCGAACAGAAAAAUGGAAACAAAGCUGGAAACACAAUUUCAAACGGUAAACAUGAAAGGAAACACUAGAAACUAAGAAACUACCGAAUGAAAAUUGAAGAAAUGAAAUAAGAACACUUAUAGAAAGGAGCUUGCUGGAUUUUGAGACUUGGAGAAGCAAUUCACGCCACUUGGAGCCUUGUUCCAAGAUAAGUGAAGGAGUGCCGCCACUUGAAGCUCACCAUUGCUCACAAGAUAAGGCAAAGGAAGAAGAAGACUCAAGACUCACAAUUUCUCUCUAAAUUUGAGUAUAGUCUCUCUACUUUAAAUUCCAAAUCUGAUUUGUACAAAGGCAACACCUUUAUUUAUAGCCUAUAAGGUGCUGAAAUGCAAAGCCAAAUGUGCCUCAAAUGAGACUCAAAUUCGGCGCUAACUAGUGGAUGAAGGAAGUGUGACUUUCCUUCCUAGUUUGACACCUCCUAACUCCUAUCUACACUCCCCCCUAGCCUCCCUUACUACUUACACCUAUUUAUUACAUCUGCACCCCUAAUCUAUAAAAGAAAUAAGAAGAGCCAUCUUAUUAUACUCUUGUCCCAAAGCUCUUGCCAUGCGCCUAGUGAUUCGUUGGGCUUGGGCCCCUUGUUGGGCUUGGGCUUCAUGGGCUUGAGCAUCCUCUACUUGGUUUCCAUCACAACUGAAGGAAGAGAUGGCCAAGCUGAAGGAGGAGUUGAUCCGUAAGGAUGAACUCUUCCAACAAACCAAGGAUGAGCUUACCAGUAAUGUCGCUGACUCCUACGCAGUGGAGUUUGAGGAUGCCAUGACCCAGGUUGCCUGCAUGCAUCCGGGAAUGGACCUUUCUCAAACUGGCCUGACCGAGACCAUUGCCGAUGGGCAAUUGGUGGACGCUGAGUAGCGGUGACGACUCUAGCUUCAUUUUGUAACUUUGAUGAACAUUUGGUGACUUUGUAUAUAUUUUUUAUUUAUGAAGUCUUUCUCUUUUCAAUCUGUCUCUUGUAUGCGUGAAUUCUUCCUUCUUCAAACUUAAUUUUGUGCCUGCUCUUAAUUAACUUGCGUGUUUCGAAACAAUUCUGUUGACUAAGAGUGUGUCAACGACUGCCCUCACCUGAGCAGCACGACCUUUUGCUAACUCGCUUAUGCUCGAUCUUUACCUUUCUCGAUCUUAACACGCAGAGGCAGAGGAGACAUUUGCUCGAACUCUAACUGGUCUCGUCCAUGGCGUACAAAGUCAAGGAAAAGGUUUACUCGUUGUUCUCAACCUUGGCGUAUAAAGGCAAGGGAGAUGUCUUAUUUUGAAUCGUACUAUUCUCAUCCUUGGCGUAUAAAGGCAAGGGAGAGGUUCACUUUUACUGUACUCGACCUUGGCGUAUAAAGGCAAGGGAGAUGUUUUUCUUGGAACCAUACUGUUAUUGACCUUGGCGUAUAAAGGCAAGAGGGAGGUUCAUUUUUCUGGUCUCGACCUUGGCGUAUAAAGGCAAGGGAGACGUCUUACUUGGAACCAUACUAUUCUCGACCUUGGUGUAUAAAGGCAAGGGAGAGGUUCACUUUACUGGUCUCGACCUUGGCGUAUAAAGGCAAGGGAAACAUUUUACUUUGAACCAUACUAUUCUCGACCUUGCCGUAUAAAGGCAAGGGAGAGGUUCACUUUACUGGUCUCGACCUUGGCGUAUAAAGGCAAGGGAGAGGUUCUCUUUACUGGUCUCGACCUUGGUGUAUAAGGGCAAGGGAGACGUCUUACUUGGAACCAUACUAUUCUCGACCUUGGCGUAUAAAGGCAAGGGAGAGGUUCACUUUACUGUGCGACACAUUGCAAGCAUAUUUUUCAACUUAACUUUUAUUGGGUGACCUCGUUAAAAAAGCUUGAUAAGGGAAAAAGAGUGUCCCCUUAACUGAUGGAAGAGGCCCAAGCACAAGCCCACAUGCAAGCCCACCAAAGGGUAAAUUUGGGCCAACCAUAGAGUUAUGGCCAAGAGGAUCCAAGAAGAAGUUCUUUUACAUGUUCAAAUGCCAUAAACUCUAGUGUAGAGUAGACUUUAAUUUCUUGUCAAAAUUAGCAUAGGAACUUUAUUUGUAAUUUUCUUAGAAUUAAUUUUGGCACCUAAAACACCAACCUAGGUAAACUAAGAGUUUCUAAAAAAACCUCUAAAUUUACCAAGGCCGGUCUAGAAAGCCCAUGGAAGGGGUGAGCAUAAAAACUAGACACACCCCUCCCCAUGUGCUCAUUUGUGCACCCAUGUGCCAUGUGCACCCAUGUGCUUCACAUUUACAUUUCAUUUGGCUAGCAUUAGGGUUGCAUUAUGGUCCUCCUUAGCCUAUAAAAGGAGGAGCCUACACCUUGUAUUUUCAAGUUUAUUGUGAGUAAAGUUAUGCUGCCAUUUUGUGCCAAGCUUUGCUUCUCCUAGAAAUUCUAGGCUCUAAACUUCAUCUCCUUCACCUCUCCUUGGGUUGGUCGAACCUCCCUAGCUUCAUACACAUCAUGCACCUUCAAGAUCAACACCACUCUUAGGAGGAUCUUGCUCACACCUCUUCAUAGCUUCCGCACCACUUUUUAUCACAUGAUUCAAGAAGACCUUCAUGAAAUGCCAUCAUUAACUGCGUACAAUGAUAUAACUAAUUGAAAUAAAAUUUAAGAUUAGCCCCGUUCCAUGUUCGGGGAAUCGUUCCCCGUUCCAUCUUAGCUUCCUCACUCUCAUCCAUAUGUCUAGUUGUUUAAAGUAAUCAUCCACACUUAGCGUGCCUUGAUGAAACCGUUGGAGUUUCAACAAUAGGUCUUUCCUAAAGUGUGGGGGUACGAAUCUAGCGCGUAAACAAGCUUUUAAAUCGUCCCAAGAGACCACGGGCGGCCUCUUGUGUAGGUCAAUGUCCAUGAGAUAUUGAUGCCACCAUUGCAUGGCAUAGUCUAAGAAUUCUAAAGAUGCUAAUCUAACCCUAUGCUCAUCUCUAACCCCAUUUACAUCAAAUAUUUGCUCAACCUUAGCUUCCCACCCUAGGUACACAUUAGGAUCACUUUCACCACUAAAGCUAGGGAGUUUUACAUUAGGGGAAUAAGGGCCAGCCACAUGUUGGCGCCUCUCUUCAAGGUGAUGGUGCCUUGGCCGUGCAUUGUCUUCGUAAUAUCCAUGAGAAGAAUGAGAAUGCCUUGAAGAAUGCCGAAGAGGAGGAUGAUGUCUUCUCUUUCGGUUUUGAUGGACUUCUUCACGGCUUAACUCCAAGCUUUGGAGCCUUGCCUCCAUUUGUCUUAUCACAUCAAGAUAUUGAGCAUUUGAUUGUCUAGCAUUCUUUAAAUCUUCAAAGAGAGAUGCCUUUUGAGGUGAGCAAGGUUUGGAGGAUUCUCCACUAGAAAAAUGAGCCAUGAUCAAAAAGUACAAAAAAAACAGAAACAAACAAUUAAAGAAACUUGUUAGCAAAAUAAAGUGAGAUGUAGGUUGCUGGAAAAUGCCAAAAGAAGGUACUCAAACCACUCUAAGAAAGUGUUCUGUCCUCAACCAAGCCUUUCUUGUGGAUUGGAGGAGCUUCAAAUGUCAAAGCCAACCACACUCACCUAAGAACAAGUCUCCACAAAACUUAAGAAGAACAAAAAGACAAGCAAGAAAAGCUAAACCAAAACAGAAUGCAAUAUAUGACAAACUGGAAAAGAAUAUGAAUGAAAGACAAGCAAGAAAAAUAAGGAACUCAAUGAAAAAGAAGGCACACAAAAGAUACCUAAAGAAAAGCACUAGAGUAGAUGAAGAAAACAAAAACAAGCUAUUGGAAAUUUUUUUUUUAUGCAAAUUGUGCUUGAUGUUCACUAAUUUAACUGUAAUGAUAUAGAGCGAACUGGAAUAUGAAAUUUAAACCACAGAAACUUCAAGAUGUUAAAUCAAUAAUGGCACUGGAAUUACUUAAAAACAGUAAGCCAAUUAAUUGAGAUAAAUUUUUCAAAAUCGCUGCCAGAUUACCGUAUUUUUUUCGGCAGAAUUGUACACUUUUUGUAUUUUAUUUAUCAUUUUUUGUGUACUUUGAACUUUUGAGUACUUCAUUUUUCUAUGCUUUUAUAACACAUUGAAGAACACAAAUCCAUAAUUUCAGAAUUUUCCAGUGAGUAAAUCAAUUGCAAUAAGGAAAACAGUGAGCACGUUUUCAGAAAACAGAAGAAUCCUAAGAGGAAUGAAAAACAGAAUUAUGAACUAGCAAAGACAUAAUGGAAAAUGAUGUAUAUGAACUUGUAUAGGUCUAGAAUACAAGUAUGAACUCAAUUCUAAAAAGAAAAAUGCACAAAGGNNNNNNNNNNNNNNNNNNNNNNNNNNNNNNNNNNNNNNNNNNNNNNNNNNNNNNNNNNNNNNNNNNNNNNNNNNNNNNNNNNNNNNNNNNNNNNNNNNNNNNNNNNNNNNNNNNNNNNNNNNNNNNNNNNNNNNNNNNNNNNNNNNNNNNNNNNNNNNNNNNNNNNNNNNNNNNNNNNNNNNNAAUAAGCCUAAAAACAGAAUUACUAAUCACAAAACAGAAUCAAAGUGUCCAGCAACUCAAAAAAAAAUUUGCACAUAACCAUAGCUCUAGAUACCACAUUAUAUGAGUUGCAUUGAACAUAGACACUUUAGAACUCUUGAAAACAACAUUAUAGGAGAAGAAUAACAACAAUUAAAGGAUCAAAGAGUGCUUAGAACAAAGGAAACAAAAUCAAAAUCACAAAACAACAAGCUGAAAACAGAAUGGGUGCAAAGAAGCUUAAGGAGUCAUCAAUGGAGACCAAGCCUUCCAAAAUGAUGAUCCAAACUCAUUAAGAGUGCUAUUUCCUUUUACACAACCGUGGAACAUGAUAUAAACGCAAUUGAAAAACAGAAACAACAAGAACCGAACAGAAAUUGAAGAACAAGCUAAGAAACACCAAAUCAAACGGUGAAAAGGAUGAAGAACACUAAAACAUUUGAAACUACCGAUUGAAAUUACAAGAGAUGAAAGAAUGAACACUUAUUCAAGGAAGCUUGCUGGAUUUGAGAAUUUGGAACUGCAUUCACACCACUUGGAGUCUUGUUCCAAGAUAAGUGAAAGGUUGCCGCCACUUGAAGCUCACCAUUGGCACACAAGAUAAGGCAAAGGAAGAAGAAGACAACAAAACUCACAAUUUCUCUCUAAACUUGAGAAUAGUUUCUCUACUUCUAUUUUCCAAUUCUGAAAAUUACAAAGGAAAGCACCUUAUUUAUAGCCUAAGAGGUGCUGAAAUGAGAAGCCAAAUCAAAUGCAAAUUCCCUCCUAAAUGACACUAAAAUGGCGCCAACUAGAGCAUGAGAAAGGUGUGACUUCCUUCCUAGUUUUGGCACCUCCUAUAUGACAUCUACACCCCCUUAACAAGUCACAUGGACAAAGUGACUCUCUCUAAUACAUUCACACCUAUUUAUUUAAUAUCCGCACCCCUACUCUAUACAAAAGAAAUAAGAAGAGUCAUCUUUUGAUACUCUUGUCCCAAAGCUCUUGCCAUGCUCCCAGUGACUCGUUGGGCUUGCGCCCCUUGUUGGGCUUGGGCCCCUUGUUGGGCUUGGGCUUCAUGGGCUUGAGCGUCCUCUACUUGGUUUCCAUCACCAUGGAAUUCAAAAGAAAGUUUGUUGGUAAAGCCAUCAUGUAAAACUUUUCUAUCAAAUUGCCAAGGCCUUCCCAAAAGAACAUGAGUGGCUUCCAUGGGCACAACUUCACAUAAUACUUCAUCUUUGUAUUUUCCAAUUGAGAAAUGGAUGAGGACUUGUUUAUUUACAACUAUUUCCCCUACUUCACUAAGCCAUUGUAAUUUGUAGGGCUUUGUAUGAGAGAUAGUAGGCAAUCCAAGCUUAUCUACUACUCUUGUACUACCCACAUUUGCACAACUACCCCCAUCCACUAUCAAAGAGCAAAUGUUGUUUUGAAUAAGACAUCUUGUAUGGAAAAUAUUUUCCCUUUGACUUUCAUCAAAAGUUUGUGAAAUUUGUCCAAGAAGUCUUCUCACAACUAACAAAUCCCCUUCAAGUGGACAUCCACUCUCUUCCUCACUAGAUGCACUAGAAUGUAAUGAAUGCUUAGGAGAAUCCGAAUCAUGCUCACUCACUACAAUGCCUUCAUGCAUGUACAUACUUCGUUUAGAAGGGCAAUUAGCAGCUAUAUGACCAUAACCCAUACAUUUAAAACAUUUAGUAUUAGACGUUCUAGUGGGUGAUUUAGGCCUAGAAGUAGAUGGCUUAGUUUCCUUGGGUUUGAAAGAAGAAUCUUUGGAAGGAAAUUUAGAAAAAGACUUUUUGUUUCUCCAAGACUUGUUGUAGUAACCAUCAUUGGGAGCAUUUUUGAAAGAAUUUUUCUUAGCAACUUGGGCUUCCACCUUCAUUGCAAGAUGAACUAAAGAACCCAAUGAUGAAUACUCUUGUAACUCAACAAUGUCUUGAAUAUCCUUCCUAAGACCACUCACAAACCUAGCAAUCAUAGCUUCCUCACUUUCUUCUAAUUCAAUUUUAAGCACAAGCGUCUCUAGCUCCUUAUAAUAUUCAUCCACAUUUAGCGUGCCUUGUUGAAACCGUUGGAGUCUUAACAUGAGGUCUUUCCUAAAAUGUGGGGGCACAAAUCUAGCGCGCAUGUGAUCCUUUAAAGAGUUCCAAGAGUCCACGGGAGGACCCUUGUGAUAGAUAAUGUCCUUUACAACACCAUGUCACCAUUUCAUGGCAUAAUCACUAAACUCUAGGGUGGUUAGCUUAAGCUUAUGCUCAUCUUGGAUCUCAUGGAUCUCAAAUAUUUGUUCACACUUAGCCUCCCAAUCUAAAUAUACAUUAGGAUCACUAGAGCCAUUAAAACAAGGAAGCUUGACCGAAGGUAGCCUAGACUUUGCAUCUUGGUAGAAGCCAUUGCCGUAGUGAUGUCUCUCCCCUUGGUUAUGAUGUCUAUGUCCAUGGAAUUGGGGUGGAGUUCUCCUUCUCCUAUGCUCUUCUUCACGGCCAAAAUCAUUUGAAGAAGCUCUUGUUGAAGGUUUAUGUGAAUGAUGCCUAUCAUGGAUAGAAGGAGAUGACCUAGCUUGUUGCACCUCCAUCUUUUGCAUUUUCUCUUCCAAACGUCUAAUGGUUCGUUGUGCUUCAUGUAAUUUACCAAGGAUUGAAGCUUUGGAAGGAGAAUUCUGCUUGUAGGAUGCAUCACUUGAAAAUCCAGCCAUUUGUAAUUAAAAACAGCAAACACACAAAAACAGCAAACAAGUCAAGAAACAAAAUUAGCAAAAACAGUGAGUUUGGCAAUGCAAUUGCCGAAGUGAAUUUGGCCAGAAAAUAGGUCACUCUCAAAGAAAUAAUGUCCUUGUACCAAUCUGAUCUUGAGGUCUUGGAACCCUCAAAUGAAAGAUGUCAAAGCAAGGCACACCAAUCUCAAAGCCAACCACAACAAAACCAAUGAAGCAAUAAAGACAAACAAGAAAAAUAUAAGCAAAGAAAGGUUAGAACAAAAGGAAUACUAGAUGUUUGACAAACUCAAAGAUUAAUGAACAAAAGACAAGCAAGAAAAUUAAAGAACUCAAUGAGAAAGUAGGCACACAAAAGAAUACUUAAAGAAAAGCACUAGAGUAGAUGAAGAAAACAAAAAAUUAGCUACUGGAAAAUAUUUUUUAUGCAAACUGUGCUUGAUGUUCACUGAUUUAACUGGAAUGAUAUAGAGCGAACUGGAUUAUGAAAUUUUAACCACACAAACUUCAAGAUCUUAACUCAAAAAUGGCAUUGGAAUUACGCAAAAACAGUAAGCCAAUUAAUUGAGAAAAAUUUUCAAAAUCGCUGCCAGAUUACCAUAUUUUUUUCGGCAGAAUUGUACACUAUUUGUAUUUUAUUUAUCAUUUUUUGUGUACUUUGAAUUUUUGAGUACUUCUUCUUUCUACUCUUUUGUAACACUUUGAAGAACACAAAUCCAGAAUUUCAGAAUUUUCCAGUGAGUAAAUCAAUUGCAAUAAGGAAAAACAGUAAGCACGUUUUCAGAAAAACAGAGGAAUCCUAAUAGGAAUGAAAAAUAGAAUUAUGAACUAGCAAAGACAUAAUGGAAAAUGAUAUAUAGGAACUUGUAUAGGUCUAGAAUACAAGGAUGAACUCAAUCUAAAACAAAAAAUGCACAAAGGAUCAAAUAUCCAACUCAGCAAAAUUAUAUGACACUAAAACAAGAAACAAUAAAAUCAACCAAAGUACUACUAGAAGUGAUGACAAUUAUGGAAAAACAAGACUAAGACAAAACUUAUAUGGAUUCAAAAAGGAAAAUACUCAAACAUAUGAUAGGCAAAAGAAUUAAAACAGCAAGCAAACUCAAAUAAGCCUAAAAACAGAACCAAAAUUGCAAGAAAUUAAAAGAGCUCUUGAAAUAAAGUGCUACACAACUCAACAAUUAAACUAGAACACACCUAAACUCAUGAUACCACAUGAUGUGAUUCCACUAGCACACUAUGAAUGAUUCUUGACAUUCUUAGGAAUCAUCUUGAGUUGGUUAUGAGAUAGGCACUUUAUCAUAGAAUUGGAUCAAGGUUCUAUGAACAAGAACUCACCAAAACUAGUGCCAAAACACAAACUCAUAUGGAAGUUGCAAUUAUAGUCAAAUUGAACCGAUUAAAAUGAAAGAAAAAGCAAUUGCACCGAACACAUUGACAUAGAACUGAAAUGAACCGAUCAAAAUGAAAUAAAAGGCAAGAAUACUGAAAAGAAGUGCUGGAAAUGUAAAAGCACCGAACCAAAACACAAAACAAAGAAGAACAACUUGCUGAAAAUGAAAUAGCCGAACCAAAAAGACAAGAACACAAGCUAAGACAUGAAUAUCAAAAGAGAAGGAAGAAAGGAGAAGAGAAAGCUCAUGAAGAUGGAGGAAUGGUUGGAUGAUCACACCACUAGGAGGAUGGAGACUCCAAGACAAGUGUGCAAGCCGCCACUUGAGGUAAACAUUGAACCAUCAAGAUAAGACUAGUGAAGAAGGCACAAAGCUCUCCAAUGCUCUCUCAAAAAUUGAGUAUAGUUUCUCUAAUUAAAAUUCAAAUCUGAAAUGUACAAGGGCAGCACCUUUAUUUAUAGCCUAGAGGUGCUAAAAAUGCAAGCUAAGAGAAUUCAAAAUUCCCUCCUAAAAUCAAAUGCAAUCAGCGCCUAAAACAAGUCAUGAGGAAGGUGUGAUCUCAUUUCUCACUUUGGCACCUCCUUAUUUACUCCUAACUAAAGACUAAAAGGUGCUAUAACAAUAGAGGUUUCUAAUGUUUCCCUCUAAGCACCUUCAACCAAAGAAAUUACAAAAAGAGAAAAUAAACGUUCCCUAGCUCCUAAAGCUUUGAACAUGCUUCUUAGAAGCCUUUGAGGUGGGCUUUGACCUCCAUGGGCGUCCUCCACUUGAGCCUCAACCUCUUCUUGCUCUUGAUGAUUGGCCUCUAUGUCCACUUGAGCUUGAUCUCCAUCACCAAGCGCUUUGGGAUUCCAAAACGACAAACUAUGUUCUUCCACACGAAGUGUUGUAUCUUGUGCGCUAUGAUUUGUGCAACGGGCUCAGCCUCUAUCCACUUUGUAAAGUACUCGAUAGUGACCACAAGAUACUUCAUUUGUCGAACUACUAGAGGAAACGGUCCCAAGAUGUCGAUCCCCCAAGUGUGAAACGGCCAUUGGCUGUGGAUCGAUCGUAACUCUUCUAGGGGUGCAUUAUACCUCGUGUAAUCCUCCCUCAUGGUUUGCCAGUAGUACCCUGCACAAAUGGCUUUCGAUGAGAGAGCUUGGCCAUGACUCACACAUAUCCCUUCAUGGAGCUCUGUCAUGAUUCGCGUUCACUACUCACCACUCACACAAGACAGGAUUGGAUGAGUGUAGCCAUGUCUAAACAACUUUCCAUCAACCAAGGUAUACCUAUUUGCAUUUUUCUUGACCACCUUGGCCUCUACUGGCUCCAGCAGGAGCAAAUCGUUACCAAGUAGCGUUUAUAGGGUGUCAUCCAGGUUUCACCCUUGUUGACUAGGCAGACGUCCAAUGACUCUCCCCUUAAUAAAUCGUACACGCUUAUUUUGGGUGUCUUCAACGUUUCUUGAGUCAACGAUCGGUGACACCUCUUAUCGCUCUAUAAGAUGCUUACUUGUUGGACUUCUGCUGUGCAGUCUGUGGUGGUUCGAGGUGUCCUCAGGGUCUUCUAGAUGAUUGUCCUCUGUUUGCCCCCUUGCCUGAGCUGGCGAGCUUUGCUAGUAAGUCAUCUCGGGCAUUCUGCUCUUUGGGGACGUGCAGUAGCUCGAACACCACAAAAGCCUCUUUCAAGAUUCUGAUAUACUCCAGGUAUGCGACCAUCUGAGGGUCAUUGGCCUAGUAUUCUCCCGUAACCUGCCCCAUCACUAACAGGGAAUCACUCUUCGCCAGCAGACUCUUAGCACCCAUCUCCUUGGCUAACAACAUUCCUGCGAUCAAGGCCUCAUAUUCAGCUUGGUUGUUACUAGCCUUGAAGGUAAAUUUUAGGGCCUGCUCGAUCAGCAACCCAUUUGGUCCUUCCAAAAUGACGCCAGCCCCACUACCCUAUUGGUUGGAGGACCCAUCCACGGAGAGGACCCAUUUGAAAUUUGCUUCUUCUUGAUGUAUGGUUGCCGAGGAGUGUUCUACCACGAAGUCGGCAUAAACCUGGCCCUUCAUAGGUUCUCUUGGUUCAUACUGCACAUCGAAUUCUGAUAACUCAACCGCCCAACGCACCAUCCUUCCUGCCACAUUGGGCUUCUGUAAGACCUUGCGAAUAGGGAGGUCCGUCAUCAUAAUCACAGUGAAACUUUGGAAGUAGUGGAGGAGCCUCCGUGUUGCAAACACCACAGCUAAAGUUGCCUUGUCUAUGGCCUGGUAUCUCACCUCGGGCCCUUGCAAGACUUUGCUGACAAAGUAUAUGGGCUUCUGCAUGUGGUCCUACUCCUGGACGAGGACCAAGCUGAUCUCCUGCUCUGUGAUGACGAAGUACAAGCGGAGUGGAGUACUUAGCAGCGACUUGCACAACACUAGGGGUUGGCUAGGUAUUCUUUCAGCUUGAGGAACGACUCUUCACCCUCUCUUGUCCAUAAGAACCUGUUGUUCCUCUUCAAACACUGGAAAUAGGGAUGUCCCCUAUCCCCUCCUACCGAGAUAAACCGAGACAAAGCAGCCAUUCGCCCUGUCAAAUGCUGCAUCUCUUUCACUGAGAUCGGGCUCCUCAUUGCUAUAAUGGUCGCACAUUUCUCAGGGUUUGCCUCUAUUCCCCGCUCGGUGAGUAGGAACCCCAAAAAAUCCUCUGCCUCUACCCCAAAUACACAUUUUUCGGGGUUCAACUUCAAUCUGUACUUGGUUAUCGUGGUGAAUAAAUCCUCUAGAUCGGCAACGUGUUGGUCCUUCAUCUGGGAGGUGACAACCAUGUUGUCCAUGUAUGCCUAAACGUUUCGCCCUAUCAUGGGGGCGAGCACUCUGUCCAUCAAACUUUGAUAGGUUGUGUUUGCAUUCUUGAGCCCAAAGGGCAUCACCUUGUAACAAUAACAAAAGAGUUCUGUCAUGAACGCCGUCUUGUACUCGUCUUUGGGAUGCAUCCGGAUCUGGUUGUACCCGGAUAAAGCAUCCAGAAAAUUGAGAAGCCUACAGCCCGACGUGUUGUCCACCAGGGCGUCGAUACUGGGCAACAGAUAUGAGUCCUUUAGGCAAGCUUUGUUUAGGUCGGUGAAGUCGACAAACAUCAUCCACUUACCAUUGACCUUCUUAACCAAUACUACGUUGGCUAGCCACUCGGGAUAUUGGAUCUCCCUUAUGUGGCCAACACUUAACAACUUCUGGGUCUCUUGUCCGAUGACUAGUCGCCUCUUCUCGUUAAACUUCAUCCGCCUCUGGCGUACAGGUCAGACUUGUGGGUCCAUGGUGAGACGAUGGCAUAAGAAAUCGGGAUCGAUGCCAGGCAUGUCUAAGGCGGACCACCCGAAGGUGUCUAGAUGUCGCGCUAUCACCUCGGCGAUCUGGUCCUGGGCCUCCUGACUCAGGGACCUGCCAAGUUUGAACUUCUUUCCCCCAAUCUCCCUUUCCAGUACCUCCUCUGCAGGUUCGAAUCGAUCUUCCCGGGGGAUCUCGGGUGACCCCCUCUUCUCUUAGAGGUUGGUUGGUGACGGUGCACACUCCUCUCUUUGUCUUCAAGCUAUUUUCAUAGCAUUUCUUUGUCGCCUUCUGGUCAGACUUGAUGGUAAUCAUGGCUCCCUCAAGGGAGGGUAGCUUCAUCUUCAUAUGCCUCGUUGAGGCUACUGCUCCUAUCCUGUUUAGGGCAGGUCUUCCUAAAAGGAUGUUGUAAGCGGAGGGGGCGUUGACAACGAGAUAACUUAUAUUAACGAUGCGGGACGCAGUGUCGCCUGUGAAGGUCGUCCCUAACUCUACGUGUCCUCUCACCUCUACCUGGUCGUCCGUGAAACCAUAUAGGCAGCCGUCAUAAGGUCUUAACUGGUCAGGCGACAACUACAGCUUGUUAAAGGCCGACCAGAACAUCACAUCUGCCGAGCUCCCUUGGUCAACAAGAACUCUAUGCACCUUCCUCCCUACCGUCACCACAGAGAUCACCAUUGGGUCAUUGCCAUGUGGGAUCACGUCUCGUAGAUCGGCCUUUGUGAAGUUGAGGUCGGGCUCGAGGGACUGGUUAGGCUCCCGAGCUUCUACUGCCAUGACGUCCCUAGCAUACUUCUUUCGUUGGGAGGCGGUGCAUCCUACCCCUAAAAAACUUCCAGAGAUAGUAUUGACCUCUUCAUGGACUGGUAUCUCAUGCCCCUGAUCUCUCGCUGGGGCCACUAACGUCAGGGCCCCUUGCUUCUCUUGGAGGUACUCCUUCUGAAAACCAUUCCUCACCAGUUCAUCCAACUGGUGUCCCAACGCUAAGUAGUUGCGCAAGUUGUGGCCAAAGGUUUGGUAGAAUUCGCACCAAGUGUCCUUGCUCGGCCCCAGUCUUCUGUCAGUCUUUGGAGGCGACUUCAGCCUAUCCGCUACGUUGGGGAUAACAAUUUUUGAACCAAGUGGUGUUCAAGUUUUGAAGAAUCCAAAUCCUUUGAAGGAUGUUGAAGCCUCUGCUAUGGUUGAUGUUGUUGUGCUUGUUUAGCUUAGCUCUGGGGUAGUUUAUAUGCUGUAAUCCACCCUUUGAUUAAAUCUAAAGCAUUAGCAUUCUCAAUCUUUGUUAAAGUAAAAUGUUUUCAAACUAAGUUAAAACAACCGAUUGUUUUGUCGAAACAACCGAUUGUUUAUACUUAGGUGUUUUGAGAAAAAGAUUGAAAACUGUUUUUAAAAUGGUUGAACUGUUAAGUACCAAAACAACCAAUUGAUUCGAGGAAACAACCGAUUGUUUGUUUUGGGACCAUAACAGAAAAAUUGUUUUCUGUUUGAUUGAGCUUUAAAUGAUUUAACUGCUUACGCUCCAGUCAUUAAAUGCUUUGACCAAUCUUUUAAUGCAAUUUAAGAGUUUGUUAAGAUUUGAUAACAAACUACAUCUUUGAAUAUAUUCAGAAAAACAGAUUUGAGAUUUAAAAGAAUUUUUUGACAAGUUUUUCCUAAGAGUUUUGAGUUUUUCAAAGAGCUGAGAUUGCUAAGAGUUUGUGAUUGAUCAAAGUGUAUGGAAUAAGAUUCUGCUUGUAUUGAUUUCAGAUUAUCUUCUCUAACAAGUGUAAUCCUUGUACUCUGUUGAACAAGUAUUCGUUUCUGUGUUUUGCUGAGAUUGGCUGUGUGUUCUUGAGGGGAUCAAGAUCAGCAAUCUUAGUGUUGGUGUGUUGACCAAGGAGAGUGUGUUUCUUGAGGUGUUCAAGGUCAUUCUCUUGGUUGUUGUGUAAGUGAUCAAGGUGUGAUUGCUUAGUGAAUUUCCUCAGGGUUCUGAGAAGACUGUAUGUAGCUCUGGAUUUGGAGUGAACCAGUAUAAACAACUGUGUACAAUCUCUCUAUCUCUAGCUCUUUAAUUUCAGUUUAUUUUGUUGUUUGCUGGUAUAAACAACCGAUUGUUUCUACGAAACAACCGAUUGUUUUUCUGGUACUAUAGCUUUUGCUUGCUGUUUUGGCGAACUAAAUUUCUGAAUCAAUUGUUUCCUGAGAUAAAUUCAUUCUAGUUUUGAAAAGUUUGCGAAAACCCUUUUUAAACAAUUCACCCCCUUCUAGUUUAAAGCCAUCUUUUCUAACAACAAUAAGUUCCUUAAGGUCUAUUCGGAGGUUGUUCCUGGUGGGAGCGCCUUCCCUCGUUCGUGCCCUGGUCUAAGGCUUCCUGGGCUCAUAUGGCGACUGCUUUGCCGGGGGUUUCUUCUCUGUCAUGGCCUCAUGCACCCUCCUAGGUUGAGGACGACUAGUUCCCCGUGGUCUAGUCGGGCCAACGCUUCCACGCUUUGCUAUUACCUCCUCUUCCGCGCUGAUGUGGGCCACAGCUCGGCGACAGAUCUCGCAAAACAUCUUUGGGCAACACCUUAUCAGAUAAUCACUGAAAGGACCUAACAACACUCUUUGCCUAAAUGUGUGCACCAUCAUGGCCUUAUCUUUGGUGUGCAGCUUCACUACCAGUGCUCCGAACCAGUUUAGGAAAUCUUUCAAGGGAUCUCUCUGGUAUUGCUUCACGUCAAAGAGAUCGAAAGAGACGGGAGGGGGUGGUUGACGAUGAAAUGCUUCCUAAACAACGUUGAGAACUGAUCAAAUGAGGUGAUGUGUCCAUCGGGAAGACUGAUGAACCAGUCCAACGUUGUGCUUGAGAACGUUCCCAUGAAUAGCUUACAGUGCAUAACGUCAGUUCCUCUCGAGAUCAUCAUCUAGGUGUGGAAGGUCGUGAUGUGGGCCUCCGGGUCUUCAACACCUGUGAAGGUGAUUUUUUGAACCAUGAAAUUAGCUGGUAUUACCGUGUCCAUGAUUAUCUGGGAAAAUGGCAUGGGGCGAGCCCUAACUGGGAUGGGCGGACCCUAUUCGUCAGCCCUACUCUCCCCAUGCGCUGCAAAUCUCUGCGCAAUUCCUCAUUAGUCAUGCGUAGCUCUUCAUUGUUUGCUCGUGACGUGGCCAAAUCAACCUGGAAUCGGCCCUGGCUAGCUGUAUGUUUGGCUUGAACUUCAGCCAGAAUCCUGUCCUAAUCAACUUUGGACGCUGCCACUGCCUGCUGAAGGGCGCCGAUGGUCUCCAUGAGUUGUUGCAUGGUGACGUUGUAUCCUCCUUCUAGCGCAGUCGCGCCUUGUCUCGUGUUUCUCAUGUUGCUGGAUGGAUCUGAACACGAUUGUGGAUGAGACCUAGUUUUAUCAGACCCCACGGUGGGUGCCAAAUGUUCUUGACGGUUGACCUAGCCGUCGUUGACUCAAAAGGCAGGUGGUGACUCGUCCUUCUUCUAGUGGUUUCUGUGCUCUCUUCCAGAUGAUAGAGAGUGGCUUCAUUGAAACAGAGGGGGUCGUACCUGCUGAUUGCACUCCUACGGUUAAGUCAGUACUGGGCUAAGAAACAAUCAGUAAGUAAAACAAUUUCAAUCUUAGAAACGGCGUACCUAUUUUAGGGUUCUUACCACCCUUUUUAUAGGUUGUAUUUAGGUUAACUUCCCUGUCUCACGAGAACCCUUUCUCAAGUGAAAUUAGGGUUACUAGGAGGACAUCCUGUUGUGUUGUUACGCAAUCUUAGCACAACAUUUGCACAGGAAUUUCCUCUUUUGGAGUACAAAAUCUAACAGUAUGGUCGUCAGUGUACCAACACUCCGGGCUCAUUUGUUCUGUAAGUGCCCUAAUUCUUCACGUGCCAUGCAUGCAGCUUUCCUGGAAAACCCUAGCGCUCUUGGGCUUUGGCGCCGUAAGAGAAUAUGUACUUGUGCUAGACCCGAAUGUACUAUACACACCACAUGCAUGAACCACUAGCGCAGAAAUGCUUAACAAGUUCGGUUAUUUUACAUUUACAAAUGCGGCUAUAGAUCCGCAUUUGAUCAGCACACAUUCGUAAUUCAAAGAGAUACAAAUGCGGCUAUAUAGUCGCACUUGUAAAUACUAUUUAUAACUGCAUCUAUUUCAGGUAGCCGCAUUUGUAUAUGCUUCUGAAUGAGGUGACAGGGUUUAGGGGUUUAGGGUUUACAAAUGCGACUAUUACCAAAGUCGCAUUCGUAAAUCUGAUUUACAUCGUAAAUGUUGAAAGUUUCAUUAGCAAAUCCGUCAAAUACUUUAACACCCUGGUCCCACAUUAACUUCAAAUCUUCAAUUAGAGGACUUAAAUAAACAUCAAUAUCAUUCCCUGGCUGUUUUGGACCGAAUAUCAUCAUAGACAACAUCAUGUAUUUUCGCUUCAUGCACAAUCCAGGAGGUAAGUUGUAAAUAACUAGUAAAACAGGCCAUGAACUGUGAUUUGUACUCUAUUACAUUCCGUUUGUAGCUAAACCAAGUCAGAAAUUCUUCAACAUCCGUUGCAGGAAAUUCGACCCCACCCUCUUGGAUGAGUUUCCCUUUUACUGGGUGAAGGAACCUGGGCUCAAGAAACCCAGAUGCCUCGAGAACUUACCCACGCGGGAACGAGAGGUGUGCAAUUUCCUUUCCAACCUGGGAGCGGUGUUUAGCAUUGUCGAGUUGCUCAAGCUCAAAUACAGCCCUAAGUCUCUUAAGGGCUAUAUUGGUACCCCCCUCAUCCCAUAUUCCUGUUUGUAUUCUUCUUUGCUUGUGUGUGUUAUUUGUCUGUACUCUUAUGCGCUUUCAUCUUAUACAGGCAUGGUGCUUAACGCUGAGAAAAGGAGACAGUUGGCUAUUGUGGCGGCUCAACUGAAGGCUGCCCCAGGCCCCUCUGCUCCUGGCCCUUCUACCCCAGCCCCUAUAGACCAAAGGCUCAAAAGGGUGGUCGUGGUUGCUGAGGUUGCAGCUUCUGAGGACGAGGAUACCUGCUCAGGCCUCGUCUUCAAGAGGAAACGUAAGGCUGAUGUUGCCGUCCCUGCGCCAUCGGGCUCAGAUGGUCACACUCCUUCUUACAGGGAGCAUCCUCCCAGACCCUCUUCUCCCUGCGACAUUAUGGUGCAAGAGGGUAGGGGGAGAGUGCUUCGAGGGGUGACCGUGGUGAGCCCCUUACUGAUAUGUGGGCCUUCCUUCAGCGAUCCAGCCUCUGGUUGGAUCCAGCCUCCUCCAGUCCAAGAUGCAGAAGUUGAAGGAGAUAGCUAGCCAGGACGCCCUUCAAGCCAAAGAACUUAAACGUUGUGAGACUGGCAUGAUCUUAGAGAUGGCGGAACAUCGCAAGACUGAUCAAGAGACCAAGAAGCUCUUGUUUAAGAAGUCCCAAGAGACUCUGAGGAUCUAUGCCAGGAACACUGAUCUUCGGGCUGAGGUGGAUGACUUGACGGAGAAGCAUGACAGCAAGGAUGUAGAGGUGGCCCAACUGAUGGAGAAUUCAGCAAGGCUUGAGGAGGAGAUGGCCAGGCUGAAGGAGGAGUUGGUCCGCAAGAAUGAACUUUUCCUAGAGACUAAGGAUGAACUCACUCGAGAUGUCGUGGAGUCCUACACACCAGGGUUUGAGGAUGUCAUGGCCCAGGUUGCCUGCGUGCAUCUUGGGGUGGAUCUUUCCUAAACUGGGCUGACUAAGACAAUCGCUGAUGGGCAACUGGUAGAUGCCGAGUAGCGGUGGUUCUCCUUUGUAUUUAUUUUGUAGCCUGGCAAACACUUGAUGAAUCUAUAUAUAUAUAUAUAUAUAUAUAUAUAUAUAUAUAUAUAUAUAUAUAUAUAUAUAUAUAUAUAUAUAUAUUUUAAUUUAUGAAGCCCUUUCUUCUCUUAACUUGUCUUUUAUAUGCGCGAAUGCUUUCUUCCUCGAACUUUUUCUCAGUUGUAUUGCCUGCCUUAGAUUAUUCUUGUUAACUAACAAUGCUUUGAUGAUUGUCUUCACCUAACCAACACGUUCCUUUACCAACCUGCUUGCACUUUACCUGUUCGAUCUUUAACACAUUGGGGUAGAGGAGAUGUUUUCUCGAACUCUAACUGGCCUCAUCUUUGGCAUACAAUGGCAAGGAAAAGACAUACCCGUUGCCCUUAACCUUGGCGCAUAAGGACAUGGGAGAUGUCUUACUUGGAACCUUACUAUUCUCGACCUUGGCUUACAAAGGCAAGAAAGAGGUUUUCUUUUACAUGGAACCUUACUAUUCUCGACCUUGACUUACAAAGGCAAGGGAGAGGUUCACUUUUACUUGGAACCUUACUGUUCUCGGCCUAGACUUACAAAGACAAGGGAGAGGUUCACUUUUACUUGGAACCUUACCGUUCUCGACCAGGACUGCUUGCAUCCCUGUGCAUACCUCGUGUAGUGAUGUGAUUCCAAUAGCCACAUAGAGAAAGGUUCUUGACCUUCUUAGGAAUCAACUUGAGUUGGACAAUAGUUAGGCACUUUUUCUUAGAAUUGGAUCAUUGUUCUAAGUCAAGAACUCUCCAAAAACUAGCACCAAUUCCAAACUCAUAUGGAAGUUCCAGUUAUAGUCAAAUUGAACCGAACAAAAUGGAACAAAAGAUAAGCAAACUGAAUAAGAAGUGCUGGAAAUUAAAAUGCACCGAACAAAAACAGAAAAGAAUAAGAACAGCUGCUGGAAAAUGAAAAAUAACCAAACCAAAACUCAAGAACACAAGCUAAACAUGAACAAUUGAAAGAGUAGGAAGAAAGGAGAAGAGAAAAGCUUAUGGAGAUGGAAGAGAAGGUGAGUGAUCACGCCACUAGAAGGAUGGUUGCUCCUAGAUGAGUGUGCUGCCGCCACUUGAGGACACCAUGGAUCCUUCAAGAUAAGACUAGAGAAGAAGGCUCAAAAGCUCUCCAAUGCUCACUCAAAAAUUGAGUAUAGUUUCUUUACUCUCAUUUCAAUUCUGAAAAAUACAAGGGCAGCACCUUAAUUUAUAGCCUAAGGUGCUGAAAUGUAAGCUACACAAAUUCAAAAAACUCCCUCCUAAAAGCUUCUAGAAUUGGCGCCUAAAACAAUGCAUGAGGAAGGUGUGAUCCCUUCUCUCACUUUGGCACCUCCUUAUUUACUCUUACACCUAUCUACUAACACACCCCCCCUAAAACUCCUAACUNNNNNNNNNNNNNNNNNNNNNNNNNNNNNNNNNNNNNNNNNNNNNNNNNNNNNNNNNNNNNNNNNNNNNNNNNNNNNNNNNNNNNNNNNNNNNNNNNNNNGACUAAAAGAUGCUUUAACUAUACUAUUGACAGAUCAUACACCUCUAAGCACCUUCAACAAUAUUCUUUAUUAUUUAAUACUUGGCCUUGCCCUUCAUGAGAUGAACUUGGGCUUUUUGGGCUUUGGCCUUCUUGGGCUUGGGCUUGGGCUUUGGGCCUCAUCUUUUGCAAAGAAUAAUAAGAAGAACUUUAAAUGUGAGGGCGAAUGAUCUUGUCCUUCAUUAUUAAAAGCCUUCUUUAUUUGAUUCGCAUCAUACUCCCCGAGUUGGAGAGAAUUCGCCCACGAAUUCUGAAUCCCUGCAUAUAACAAAGUCAGUUUACUUUUACAAUCAAAAGUGUAAGAAAAAGGAAUACAUGACUUAGCGGAUGGAACCAAAGGGAUUGCAGAAAAGGAGGUCCUAUAAAUCGACCAAGUUGAAAAAAUUUGUUUGGGAAUGAUGAUGUUUUUUGGAAAAAGACCUCUUAAAUGGUGAAACCCAUUAGGAGGUAUGAAAAAAUCAUCCCUAACAUAUUUUAACCAAGUUGGUGUUGAAAUAGGAACCUUGGGUAAUGAAAAAGAUAAAGAAGAAGAAGACCUUGGAGGGUCCAUUUGAGGCAUAGCAUGAGUCAACAUGAUGGAUUUAGAGGAGAAAAUGGUGUGACUCGGUGUAGUACUUACUUCUUUUUCUUUCUCAUUUUCUCUUUUAGUUUUCAUUUUUAUUUGGUUCUCAUGAACCUCUUUGGGAGAGAGGGGUUUUAAUAUAACCUUGCGUCCUAGGAAGGAAAAAGGCAUUGUAUUGGAUAGGCCAUCAUGUAAAACAUGUCUAUCAUAUUGCCAAGGCCUUCCAAAAAGAAGAUGAGAUGCUUCCAUGGGCACAACAUCACAUAAAACCUCAUCUUUAUACUUUCCUAUUGCAAAGUUAAUGUUCCGUCCGGUUGACCUAGGACGUCUUCGUGCGCGACCUCGACCGUCAGCUAGGGGCUCCUUCCCACUGGUUACCUGUGGAUUCCUGCAAAGAAGGACAAAAGGGCGCCCUAGCUGCCGUUUGCACUCCGACGCUCAAGUCAGCCAGCAAGAAACACCAAAAACUAUGCACCUCCGUAUCGGAGCACCGCGUAUGGCACUCUGAAGGUGGUCAAAAGGAAAACUGUGUCUAGUGUGUAUUUCUCCUUCUAGCAAAGAUCUUUCCCUAGUCCCUUGUGCGUAACCUCGAGGCUCGAGCAAGCAACUAGAGAGUUUAUGGGAAAUUUGCCAAAAGUCCGAACCCCGUUCCCAACAUUCUCGGCGCUAUUUAAACUACCCAAGCAUUUAAAGCGCCUUAAAGCGCUUUUAAUCAUGAAACGUAACGCACUUAAUUAACGCGUCUAAUUUAGAAAACGUAGCGCAUUUAAGACGUUGAAACGCUUGGGAGCCUUUAUAGUACCUUAAACGCUCGAAACAGAAACUGUAUUAAAUGACUUUAAUGACCUGGUACCUGACUAAAUGGUGUUUCUAUUCUGACCUGGCUGUCGUACACAUGGCCCCAUCUGGGGACGUUUCUACGUGUGAGUCCUCCUGCUUGGGAAUGCUACUGCGUAAGGGGUGACUUUUUGGGUGCCAACUCAUGUCCCCAAUCAUCUAGUCACUCACUUUGAGAGCGCAUCUGCCUUCCUCUCGUACCCUGCACCUGGCUACCCUGGGCGUGACCCUCCCCUUGAGUCGUAUCUGUCCCAAAGGCGUCUCUGGGGCGGCAGGGGUACUUCACGAGUCAGGCUGCCCUACACUGGUGCUAUCACUAUGGCCUUGAAGCCACCUUUUCCUUCUCUUUAUCACUACCCCGGAUUAUCGGGACCUGAGGCCUUCCCACGGCGUCGCUCCCUCCAUGGUCUUCCCUACCCAUGGGUAUCGGGGAACCGCGCUGUGACUGCCUUGACUUAAUGAUAUCUGAUCUUGGUGACGCCCUGGUUGGGCGACGCCUCCACCUAGGUGACGCCUCGCCUUGGCGACGCUUCCUCUUGGAGACGCUGGUACUUGGCGUCUCUUCAUCUAGGCGACGCCUUGUGUUGACUUUGACUCCUGGCGUUGACUUUGACCUUGACUUCGUCAACGCCCGGAUACGGGACGGUACACAAGCCCGCCAGUCUUAAGCCGAAGACUUGUCUUCAGCGCAAAGACUAAGGCCUCGCCCACGCCGUCCACGUGCCACCCUGAUGACGUGUCAUUCCCUGCUGACUCAACAAUUCUCGAAUUAUUGACGUGACACUCUCUGAACCAUAGGGGCGCUCUUAAUGGCUGAUUGGACAUCCUCUGAAGCGGGGAAAAUAACACCUUUUGGGGCUACGCUUAAUCGUGCGCCACGUGGCUUAUCACUCGGCCAGCCUCUAGAGUCUCCUGCGCUCCCCUUGGGCGCUUAAUUCUUUGACACGUGACACGAUCUCACGGCUCCUGAUUAGCGCCUCUUGGGUUGCAAAUGUAACGUUCAAGUUACCCCAAACCCCGCGCUCACACCACUGUUACAUCCAUUCUCUCUGCAUCUCCGCACUGUUCAUCGCCUUCAAACCCUUUCCCUGCAACUCCUGCUCUUUCCUUCGUGCUCUCCUUCCUCCCUUACUUCGACAACAAAGGUAUGAUUUUUGCACAUCCCGACUCUUCUCCUUCGUCGCAUUGCAUAGUUUAUUGAACUGCCUGGGACUGUUUACGUUUAUGCAUUACUGUGUUCUUCCGCUUCUCCUUUCUUCUCUGUUCCCUUCUCCUUCUUUCUGGGUUUUCUCGCGUGGGUGGUAUUUCCUGGGGUUUCACCCCCUUUUCUGUCUUGGCAUCACUUUGUUAAAAACCUUUUUCCUUUCUUCUUUCUCCAGCUAUUUAUUAACACCAUAACGCGCCCGAACUCCCAGUCUGGUUCUCCCUCCAACACCCCCAAGUCCAAUUAUAAAGCCUUCUAUACAUGGGCCCCCGACGAGCUUUUGAACGAGUGUACCAGCCUGACAUCCUUUCAGGACCUGGAGAAUCAUCGUGGGGAUCCCCACUUGUAUAACUUUAAUGCUUUCUGCCGCACUCAUGACGCGCACAUCUCCGUUCGUCCCGGCCGACCGGGGGAACCUGUGUGUGUGGAUGACAGACCUAGAAAGGGGAGUCCCUUCUUCUUCAUGUACCAGACGGUGUUUAAACGCGUCGGGGUGCGCCUCCCAUUCACGCCCUUUGAGAGGGAACUCCUCACCGAGAUUAACACAGCCCCCGCCCAGCUCCAUCCCAGCAGCUGGGCAUUUGUAAGGGGUUUCCAAAUCCUCUGCGAGCACCUGGGCAUCCUCCCUUCCGUGGAUGUUUUCUUGCAUUUCUUCGAAGUGAAGAAACAGGGGAAAAGCUUUUGGGUAAGCUUCUCCGGGAUCGCGGGUAGGAUCAUCCUCUCCCUCUUCCAGAACUCCUACAAAAACUGGAAAGGAAAAUUCUUUAAGGUGUGCAGCGCCAAGCACGACCCCACAGCCUUAGACGGCUUUCCCCUGUACUGGACGGAGCACCCUAAGCUGCUCAGGGCCAAGGCCCUGGAUGAGCUAUCCCCUGCUGAUAAGGUAUGCAAGGCCUUGGCUGGUCUGGGGAUUGUCUUCGAUACAUUGAAGCUUAUCGCGAGCGAAUACAACGCUCACGCCGUGACCACAUACUUUGGUAGGGAGACUCUCCCCUUACCAUCUUUUGUUAUCUGCACCUUACUACCAGAUGUUUGUUCCUCUGGCCUCUUCCACCUGUUUCACAUUGUACCACGUGACUUGCGUCUCACGUUUCUACGCGUUUUGUGGUUUUGCAUAAUUGCUUUGGCUUUGACUUCUGCUGCUUGGUUUAUCUGAAUGUAGGAUCGGUGAUGGGCGCCUCCAAAAGGAUGAUGCAGGCGAAAGCGAUAAAAGACGCUCGUGCUGCCAAAGCGGGCGCCUCCUCCGCCCCUGUUGCUGACCCGAACCCCCCAUCAACCCUGCCUCUGCCACCACCGGCCACUACCGAAGCCCCACUAGGCUCAUCUUCACUGUCCCCACAUAGCCCCGAGGCGCUUCAGACUCCCGGCUCUCCUCUGCCCAUUGCCGCCGUUCCUCUGGCUGUGGCCUCAUCGCCGGCCCCAACCCCCCUCGACAAAGGGAAACGGGUCUUGGAGAUCAUAUCCGACGAUGAGGACUCAGAUGGCGUGGCACCCUUCAAGAGGAGGAAAUCUGCAAGGGUUCCCCUCCUACCAGCGGUGUCGCCCCAGGGAGAGGAUUCUUUCAGGGACAACCCUCCAAGCGCUACUUCCCUUCCCCCCACAAUCGUCCAAGAGGAUGUAGGCGAAAGCGUCGAGUCUGCUCCACCUCCGCCACCGGCAGAGGUCUCUACUUCUCCUGCCCCCGUCGCUGCCGCCCCCGAUCUUAUCGCCAUCCCUUCUCCAAUUAUGCAUCUGAUGAGGGGCUUCAGUGGUGGAACAAUGCCAGAAGGCUCCGACAGGAGGGAGGGCAUGCCCUUCUACUUGGGGGCCUUCUUGGCGAUGGCCUUUGAAUGGCGCGCCCAGGCCAGAAACGCUGCUUUGCAAACCCAAACCCUCCAGGCCUUGGAAACAAGGGUAGCUGCCCUGGAGGAGGAAAGGAAGAUUUUGGGACGCCAAAACGAAACUUACCAAACCACCCUGAAGCAGGCGCAAGAGUCCAAAGCAGAGGCUGAAAAACAACUGGCAGAGGCGGUGGAGCUCCAGAUCGACUUCUACGCUCGGGAAGUCGCCCUCAAAGUUCAGGUAACGAGUCUUCAAGACAUAGCCAAAGCUUACGAAGAAGUUCAAAAGGACUUGAAGGACCGCUGCUGUGAGCAAGCUGACGAAAUGGAGCGGAUGGAGGGGGAAAUGGCUACCCAGGCUACACUAGGAGAGGAUUUUAUUAAUGAAGGAAGAGGAUUUUCACCUACACAUUUGAAGUUCUUCCUUCUAGUCUUCUCACAAAUUAAAAGAAGUCAAAGAGAAGAUCAAGCCUAAAGAUAAAGAAGUCUACAAACUCUCAAAUAAUAGGCUUCAUAUUAAAUAUCUCUCUUUAUAGUUUCUUUUAAAUUGUAAAUAAUAUAGAAUAAUAUUUAGAAAGGUGCUUAGAGGGAAACAUGAGACACCUCUUUUGUAAAAGCAUCUUUAGGCUUUAGUUUAGCAAAUUCUAGAAGCUUGGGGAGUGAGCUUAGUAAGGGGGGUGUGAUCUUAGGAGUUUUUUGGGUAGCUUAGGGAAUAAGCUAUGUAAAUGACCAGCCCUUACUCCUAUAAAAGGAGGGCUUAGGUCCUUCACUAUUCAGAUUGGAAUUUUAUAGUAGAGAGACUAUACUCAAUUUUGGAGAGAAUUUGUGAGUUUUGAGUCUUCCUCUUCUUUGCCUUAUCUUGUGAGCUAUGGUGAGCUUCAAGUGGUGGCACUCCAUCACUUAUCUUGGUUCAAGGUUCCAAGUGGCGUGAAUGGCUUCUUCCAAUCCUCAAAAUCCAGCAAGCAUCUUCUUCUAUAAGUGUUCUUCUUCCCUUUUCUUCAAUUUUCCAUUCGGUAAUUUUGAUUCCUAGAGUUUUACUUCUUUUUCUACCGUUUAAUUUUGUGUUUCCAGCAUUGGUUCUUAAUUCUGUUUUGGUUCAGUAGCUAUCUUUUAAAUUUUGUCCAGUUUUAAUUCUUGUUCUUCUUUCCUUUUGUUUUGAUUCAAUUUGACAAUGGACUUCCAUAUGAGUCUUGUUUGGUGCUUAGUUUUGGUGAGUUCUUGAAUUUAGAACAUUGAUCCAAUUCUAAAGUAAAGUGCCUUUCAAAUCCAGCUCAAGUUGUUCCUAAGAAUGUCAAGAAUUCAUGUGUUCUUGUAGUUACAUUCACAUCACAAAGAAGAAGAAGACCUUGUAGGCGUAGCACGAGUCAACAAAAGUGAUUUAGUUGAGAAGGUAUUAAGACUCGGUUUAUCAUGUACUUCAAUUUCCUUUUCAUUUUCUUUUUGAGUUUCUUUGGGAUUGGUCCUAUAUGCUAGAUGAUGUGGUAAAGAAACCCUGGGCAUGAAGUCUAUUUGGUGUUCAAUCCCUUUUAGUGGUGCUAAGCCUUUAGGAGGAUCUUGAAUCACAUCUUCAUAGUCCUUUACCAAAUUGUCCAAACAUGUGGGACUAUCCUUAGCCGACUCACAGUCAAUAGUCCUAGGAAUAGCUAAAAAAAUAGGCUUUUGANNNNNNNNNNNNNNNNNNNNNNNNNNNNNNNNNNNNNNNNNNNNNNNNNNNNNNNNNNNNNNNNNNNNNNNNNNNNNNNNNNNNNNNNNNNNNNNNNNNNUUUAACUUGUUGUGUGGACAUGAGAAGGCUUCUCUUGGAACUUUUUAUAUCAUUUUCUUUCUCUCAUUUUUCUCAUUUUAACUUGGUCCUCAUGUACUUCCUUUGGAGAGAGAGACUUAAGAGUGACUUUGUGCCCAUGGAAGUGAAAAGAAAUUUUGUUGGUAAGGCCAUCAUGAAAAACUUUUCUAUCAAAUUGUCAUGGCCUACCUAAAAGUAUAUGAGUAGCUUCCAUUGGAACAACAUCACAUAAGACCUCAUCUUUAUAUUUGCCAAUGGAAAAUGUAAUGAGGACUUGUUUGUUCACUACUAUCUCACCCACCUCACUCAACCAUUGUAACUUGUAGGGCUUGGCAUGAGAGAUGGUAGGCAAUCCAAGUUUGUCUACCACUCUUGUGCUUGCCACAUUCGCACAACUCCCCCCCAUCCACAAUCNNNNNNNNNNNNNNNNNNNNNNNNNNNNNNNNNNNNNNNNNNNNNNNNNNNNNNNNNNNNNNNNNNNNNNNNNNNNNNNNNNNNNNNNNNNNNNNNNNNNNNNNNNNNNNNNNNNNNNNNNNNNNNNNNNNNNNNNNNNNNNNNNNNNNNNNNNNNNNNNNNNNNNNNNNNNNNNNNNNNNNNNNNNNNNNNNNNNNNNNNNNNNNNNNNNNNNNNNNNNNNNNNNNNNNNNNNNNNNNNNNNNNNNNNNNNNNNNNNNNNNNNNNNNNNNNNNNNNNNNNNNNNNNNNNNNNNNNNNNNNNNNNNNNNNNNNNNNNNNNNNNNNNNNNNNNNNNNNNNNNNNNNNNNNNNNNNNNNNNNNNNNNNNNNNNNNNNNNNNNNNNNNNNNNNNNNNNNNNNNNNNNNNNNNNNNNNNNNNNNNNNNNNNNNNNNNNNNNNNNNNNNNNNNNNNNNNNNNNNNNNNNNNNNNNNNNNNNNNNNNNNNNNNNNNNNNNNNNNNNNNNNNNNNNNNNNNNNNNNNNNNNNNNNNNNNNNNNNNNNNNNNNNNNNNNNNNNNNNNNNNNNNNNNNNNNNNNNNNNNNNNNNNNNNNNNNNNNNNNNNNNNNNNNNNNNNNNNNNNNNNNNNNNNNNNNNNNNNNNNNNNNNNNUUCAUCACUCUCAUCCAUAUUAACUCGAAUUAAAAGUGUGUCUAGUUGUUAAAAGUAAUCAUCCACACUUAGCGCGCCUUGAUGCAACCGUUGGAGUUUCAACAUAAGGUCUUUCCUAAAGUGUGGUGGUACGAAUCUAGCGCGUAAACAUGCUUUCAAAUCGUUCCAAGAGACCACGGGCGGCCUCUUGUGUAGGUCAAUGUCCAUGAGGUAUUGAUGCCACCAUUGCAUGACAUAGUCCAAAAAUUCUAAAGAAGCUAACUUAACCCUAUGCUCAUCCCUAACCCCAUUUACAUCAAAAAUUUGUUCAACCUUAGCCUCCCAUCCUAAGUAUACAUUGGGAUCACUUUCACCACUAAAACUAGGAAGUUUUACAUUAGGAGAACAAGGGCCAGCCACAUGUUGGCGCCUCUCUUCAUGGUGAUGAUGUCUUGGCCUUGGAUUGUCUUCAUAAUAACCAUGAGAAGAAUGGGAGUGCCUUGAAGAAUGCCGAAUAGGAGGAGGAGUUCUUCUCUCACGGUUUUGAUGCAUUUCUUCUCGGUUUAAC